GAUAAGAACGCAGCGAAAUGCGAUACUUGGUGUGAAUUGCAGAAUCCCGUGAACCAUCGAGUCUUUGAACGCAAGUUGCGCCCGAAGCCGUCAGGCCGAGGGCACGCCUGCCUGGGCGUCACACGCCGUUGCCCCCCCGCGCCCCGCACCCAACGCUUUGGGAGCGACCGCGGGGCGGGCUGAUGAUGGCCUCCCGUGCGCUCCGCCGCGCGGUUGGCCCAAAUACCGAGUCCCCGGCGACGUGCGCCACGACGAUCGGUGGUUGAGAGACCUCUGUCGCAAGUCGUGCGCGCCCGUCGCGUCACGCGGGCUCGCAUAGCGCCUCGCGCCGCACCCGGUGCGGAGCUUUCAACGCGACCCCAGGUCAGGCGGGGUUACCCGCUGAAUUUAAGCAUAUCAAUAAGCGGAUGA
rnacentral:misc_RNA from 1 species